GAUUGGGAGGUACGGACGGCGGAGGGAGGAGUUCUUGAGGGUCAAGGAUUUGUAUGACCCUCAAGGGUUGUUCUCGAACGAGUGGACGGAUCAGGUGUUAGGGAUUAUGGGUGUUACGAGUGUGUACAAGGCUGGGUGUGCGCUUGAAGGGUUAUGUGUUUGCUCCGAGGAUGUGCAUUGUGCGCCUCGUAAGGGGUAUUUUUGUCGGCCCGGUAGAGUGUAUAUUGAUGCCAGGGUCUGUAGGCG
rnacentral:misc_RNA from 1 species